rnacentral:rRNA from 1 species
UAAGGAAUAUUGGUCAAUGGGUGGAAGCCUGAACCAGCCAUGCCGCGUGCCGGAAGAAUGCCUUCAGGGUUGUAAACGGCUUUUGGAAGGGAAGAAAAUGACUCUGCGGAGUAGAUUGACGGUACCUUCCGAAUAAGCACCGGCUAACUCCGUGCCAGCAGCCGCGGUAAUACGGAGGGUGCAAGCGUUGUCCGGAUUCAUUGGGUUUAAAGGGUACGUAGGCGGUGGUUCAAGUCAGUGGUGAAAGUCUGUGGCUCAACCAUAGAAUUGCCAUUGAUACUGAAUCACUUGAGUACGGUAGAGGCAGGCGGAAUUUAGGGUGUAGCGGUGAAAUGCAUAGAUACCCUAAAGAACACCGAUAGGGAAGCCAGCUUGCUGGGCCGUCACUGACGCUGAGGUACGAAAGCGUGGGUAGCAAACA